UAUAACUGGAGGAAGGUGGGGAUGACGUCAAGUCAUCAUGGCCCUUACGACCAGGGCUACACACGUGCUACAAUGGCGCAUACAAAGAGAAGCGACCUCGCGAGAGCAAGCGGACCUCAUAAAGUGCGUCGUAGUCCGGAUUGGAGUCUGCAACUCGACUCCAUGAAGUCGGAAUCGCUAGUAAUCGUGGAUCAGAAUGCCACGGUGAAUACGUUCCCGGGCCUUGUACACACCGCCCGUCACACCAUGGGAGUGGGUUGCAAAAGAAGUAGGUAGCUUAACCUUCGGGAGGGCGCUUACCACAUUUGUGAUUCAGUUCAGGAAAAAUGAGAAAAACAACCA
rnacentral:rRNA from 1 species